GAUGAACGCUGACAGAAUGCUUAACACAUGCAAGUCUACUUGAAUUUGGGUUUUUUAACUUAGAUUUGGGUGGCGGACGGGUGAGUAACGCGUAAAGAACUUGCCUCACAGCUAGGGACAACAUUUGGAAACGAAUGCUAAUACCUGAUAUUAUGAUUAUAAGGCAUCUUAGAAUUAUGAAAGCUAUAUGCGCUGUGAGAGAGCUUUGCGUCCCAUUAGCUAGUUGGAGAGGUAACGGCUCACCAAGGCGAUGAUGGGUAGCCGGCCUGGGAGGGUGAACGGCCAAAAGGGAACUGAGACACGGCCCUUACUCCUACGGGAGGCAGCGGUGGGGAAUAUUGGACAAUGGACCAAGAGUCUGAUCCAGCAAUUCUGUGUGCACGAUGACGUUUUUCGGAAUGUAAAGUGCUUUCAGUUGGGAAGAAAAAAAUGACGGUACCAACAGAAGAAGAGACGGCUAAAUACGUG
rnacentral:rRNA from 1 species